UUACGGUCACAUCACAUUGAAAUACUGGUUCUCAUACAAUCACUGAAUUUAAACAAUGUCAAGCCUAGUCAGUACCUAGAUGGGUGGCCACUUAGGAAUACCAGGUGCUGUAAG